rnacentral:rRNA from 1 species
GUGAGGGAUGACGGCUUCGGGUUGUAAACCUCUUUCACCAGGGACGAAGCGCAAGUGACGGUACCUGGAGAAGAAGCACCGGCCAACUACGUGCCAGCAGCCGCGGUAAUACGUAGGGUGCGAGCGUUGUCCGGAAUUACUGGGCGUAAAGAGCUCGUAGGCGGUUUGUCGCGUCGUCUGUGAAAUUCUGCAACUCAAUUGUAGGCGUGCAGGCGAUACGGGCAGACUUGAGUACUACAGGGGAGACUGGAAUUCCUGGUGUAGCGGUGAAAUGCGCAGAUAUCAGGAGGAACACCGGUGGCGAAGGCGGGUCUCUGGGUAGUAACUGACGCUGAGGAGCGAAAGCGUGGGUAGCGAACAGGAUUAGAUACCCUGGUAGUCCACGCCGUAAACGGUGGGUACUAGGUGUGGGUUCCUUUUCACGGGAUCCGUGCCGUAGCUAACGCAUUAAGUACCCCGCCUGGGGAGUACGGCCGCAAGGCUAAAACUCAAAGGAAUUGACGGGGGCCCGCACAAGCGGCGGAGCAUGUGGAUUAAUUCGAUGCAACGCGAAGAACCUUACCUGGGUUUGACAUACACCAGACGCAUGUAGAGAUACAUGUUCCCUUGUGGUUGGUGUACAGGUGGUGCAUGGCUGUCGUCAGCUCGUGUCGUGAGAUGUUGGGUUAAGUCCCGCAACGAGCGCAACCCUUGUCCUGUAUUGCCAGCGGGUUAUGCCGGGGACUUGCAGGAGACUGCCGGGGUCAACUCGGAGGAAGGUGGGGAUGACGUCAAGUCAUCAUGCCCCUUAUGUCCAGGGCUUCACACAUGCUACAAUGGCUGGUACAGAGGGCUGCGAGACCGUGAGGUGGAGCGAAUCCCUUAAAGCCAGUCUCAGUUCGGAUUGGGGUCUGCAACUCGACCCCAUGAAGUCGGAGUCGCUAGUAAUCGCAGAUCAGCAAC